CCUACGGGGGGCAGCAGUAGGGAAUCUUCCGCAAUGGGCGAAAGCCUGACGGAGCAACGCCGCGUGAGUGAUGAAGGUCUUCGGAUCGUAAAACUCUGUUGUUAGGGAAGAACAAAUUUGUUAGUAACUGAACAAGUCUUGACGGUACCUAACCAGAAAGCCACGGCUAACUACGUGCCAGCAGCCGCGGUAAUACGCAGGUGGCGAGCGUUAUCCGGAAUUAUUGGGCGUAAAGCGCGCGUAGGCGGUUUCUUAAGUCUGAUGUGAAAGCCCACGGCUC
rnacentral:rRNA from 1 species